rnacentral:lncRNA from 1 species
GUUUAUUUAUAGGCAGCACGGUACAUUUAAGGCAUCAGUCAGGCUAGUAAUAUAUGACUUCUAAUCUGUAAAAACCUAACAAAAAUUGUUCCUAAUUGCUUGUGAAAGCUGUGCCUGCUCCAUCCCCUCUUUAAAUAGAGAUCUGGCAGAUCUGCAGUGACCCACGGGCCUACCGGCUGCCUUAAGGGCUGAGAUGAGGAACUUUCCCCCAAACCUCAGCUAUUCCCCAUGACAAACCAAUCCUAAGGGGCAGCUGACAAACCCAAAUCACCCCGUAUCUCGAUAUUCCUCUCAUCCAGCCCCCCCGAGCGAUCCGUUCUGUGGUGUUGCCAUAGAAAAUGGCAAGGAAGCCUCCAAUUAGAGAAGAGGUCACACUUAAGCAGGGAUAUUAUGUAAAUAACAGCCUGCCAGCACCCGUCACGGAAAAAAAUCAAAUCAAAUAAAGGCCUCAUCUUGCGAGUCUUCCGAGGGCAGGCCUGGGAUUUGCUCCUGGGAUCCCCAGGGAGCAGGGCUGGGCUGACAGGAGCCGGGCUGGGCCCCAGAUGGCUUCGGAACAAAUGUCUUCCAGAACUCAGAUAUUUGACAACUAUCCCAGUGUUUCAUUGUUGUGUGUACUUCAACAUGUUCCAUUAGCGGCACAGCCAUAAUCGAGAAAAGUAAGACUGAUCAAAAGGAGGAGUAUUUCUAGGAAAUAAAUCUCAGAAUAAAGCAUAUAUACCCGUGACU